GAAUGUGAAGUCUCAUGGUAUGGAAUACCUCGUUGGCCGCUUUGGGUCAGCUGCCCUGGCUGUGUCCCCUCCUGACUUCUUGUGCCCCUCCAGCCUUCUCACUGGCUGGGCACAAGAAGCUGAAAAAUCCUUGCCUUAGUCU